rnacentral:rRNA from 1 species
UACGGGGGGAGCAAGCGUUGUUCGGAUUUACUGGGCGUAAAGGGCGCGUAGGCGGCCUCUGCAAGUCGACUGUGAAAUCUCCGGGCUUAACCCGGAAAGGUCAGCCGAUACUGCAGGGCUAGAGUGCAGAAGGGGCAACUGGAAUUCUCGGUGUAGCGGUGAAAUGCGUAGAUAUCUGGAGGAACACCGGUGGCGAAGGCGGCGUUCUGGACUGUCUCUGACACUGAAGAACGAAAGCCAGGGGAGCAAACGGGAUUACGAAAGCCCCAGUA